rnacentral:piRNA from 1 species
UCUUCUGGAAGAGGAGCCAGUGCUCUUAAC